UAGAAAAGCCCCACCGUAAAAUAUCCAUCCCUUUCUUACAUUUUCCCUUAGGUCACUCAACGUAGCCAAAAACCCUUUUUGCAAAACCCCCGUAAUAUCGUAUCUCCUUUCUUUCAUGCCUUCAUUUGAUCAUAUGUACAUUAGUGGCAUGUAACUUGGUCGAGUCUAUGAGUCAAUAAAGUUGCUAUAUUGAGUAAUUGCAAGAUUAUAUAGUCUCCCUUAAUCCUUUUUAUGUAUAAUUGUAAAUUCAAAAAAUAAGAGAAAAAUAAAAAAACAUUUGAAAAUCUCGAAAAAAAAGGAAA
rnacentral:lncRNA from 1 species